rnacentral:rRNA from 1 species
AGUGAACGCUGGCGGCAGGCCUAACACAUGCAAGUCGAACGGCAGAACAGUAAGUGCUUGCUCUUACGGGGGGGGAGUGGCGGGCGGGGGAGGGAAACAUGGGAGUCAACUUUUUCGAGGGGGAGGAAGCGGGGGAAAAUACGCUAAAACUGCUUACGAACUAAGGGGGAGAGCAGGGGACCUUAGGCCAUUACAUGAGUCAAGGUCGGAUUAGCUAGUUGGUGGGGUAAAGGCCUACCAAGGCGACGAUCCGUAGCUGGUCUGAGAGGAUGAUCAGACACACUGGAACUGAGACACGGUCCAGACUCCUACGGGAGGCAGCAGUGGGGAAUAUUGGACAAUGGGCGCAAGCCUGAUCCAGCCAUACCGCGUGUGUGAAGAAGGUCUUCGGGUUGUAAAGCCCUUUUGGUUGGGAGGAAGAGCAGCAGGUUAAUACCUCGCUGUUCUGACGUUACCCACAGAAUAAGCACCGGCUAACUUCGUG